UGCAGUGUACCCGCGGCUAGACGGAAAGACCCCGUGAACCUUUACUACAGCUUUACACUGGAUUUUGAAUACGCAUGUGCAGGAUAGGUGGAAGGCUUUGAAGCGGAGACGCCAGUCUCCGUGGAGCCGCCCUUGAGAUACCACCCUUGCUUGUUUGGAAUCCUAACCGAGGCCCGUUAUCCGGGUCCGGGACCGUGUAUGGUGGGUAGUUUGACUGGGGCGGUCUCCUCCUAAAGAGUAACGGAGGAGCGCGAAGGUACUCUAAGUACGGUCGGAAAUCGUACGGUUAGUGUAAAGGCAUAAGAGUGCUUGACUGCGAGACGGACACGUCGAGCAGGAACGAAAGUUGGUCUUAGUGAUCCGGUGGUUCUGUAUGGAAGGGCCAUCGCUCAACGGAUAAAAGGUACUCCGGGGAUAACAGGCUGAUACCGCCCAAGAGUUCACAUCGACGGCGGUGUUUGGCACCUCGAUGUCGGCUCAUCACAUCCUGGGGCUGUAGCCGGUCCCAAGGGUAUGGCUGUUCGCCAUUUAAAGUGGUACGCGAGCUGGGUUUAGAACGUCGUGAGACAGUUUGGUCCCUAUCUGCCGUGGGCGUCGGAGACUUGAGAGGAUCUGCUUCUAGUACGAGAGGACCGAAGUGGACGUACCUCUGGUGUUCCAGUUAUCAUGCCAAUGGUAUUGCUGGGUAGCUAUGUACGGACGGGAUAACCGCUGAAAGCAUCUAAGCGGGAAGCCUCCCUCAAGAUUAGGUCUCCCGGGGCUUUUGCCCCCUGAAGGGCCGUUGAAGACCACAACGUUGAUAGGCUGGGUGUGGAAGUGCAGUAAUGCAUUAAGCUAACCAGUACUAAUUGCCCGUGCGGCUUGAUCAUAUAACGCCCAAG
rnacentral:rRNA from 1 species